CUGGCUCAGAACGAACGCUGGCGGCAUGGAUUAGGCAUGCAAGUCGAACGGACAUAGCAAUAUGUCAGUGGCGAAAGGGUGAGGAACGCGUGAGCAACCUGCCCUCAAGUUGGGAAUAACAGCUGGAAACGGCUGAUAAUACCGGAUGUGGCUCCUGGACGCAUGUUUGGGAGGCUAAAGAUUUUAUCGCUUGAGGAUGGGCUCGCGUCCCAUUAGCUAGUUGGUGAGGUAACGGCUCACCAAGGCAACGAUGGGUAGCUGGUCUGAGAGGAUGGUCAGCCACACUGGGACUGAGACACUGCCCAGACUCCUACGGGAGGCUGCAGUCGAGAAUCUUGGGCAAUGCGCGAAAGCGUGAACCCCCAGCAAUGCCGCGUGCGGGAUGAAGGUCUUCGGAUUGUAAACCGCUGUCACUCGGGACGAAAAAUGACGGUACCGAGGGAGGAAGCCACGGCUAACUACGUGCCAGCAGCCGC
rnacentral:rRNA from 1 species